ACUGAGAAAGCCUCUCCAGGGAGCAGGGCACGCAGUCCAGAAGGCUGCAGUAUUUCCUCCAAGGGGGGGAAAAGAAGACGAAAAAGAAGAAGAAAAAGAAAGAAAGAGGCUGCUGCCACCCCUCCGCUAGCUAUCUGGAAUAGCACAGUGUGCAGCGUCUGCAGCCGAGCAGCGGGUGGAACCGAACCCCAGCUUGUCUGUGAAGUGCCUGGGUGGGGCAUGGCCCAGCCUCCCUGCCCUGCUCCGACCAGUGCUCCCAAGCUCCUAAGCUGCUUCUCCUCUUCAAUCGCCAAGUUCCCAGAGUAUUGCACACAAAAAAAUUGAACAAAAACUCAUAAUUACUUGUCAGAGUUUUUCCCCCCACCCAUAAUAAUAUUCUGACACGUUGAUCAGCUGCUACAUUAUAAUACAGAUUGUUUCAGAGAAGAUAGAUCUCCUUAAAGGGUUUCUCUGCAAGGCGGCAGUGAGGCUAAAAUUAGCUGUGCCAGCUGUGUUUUGCUGGGAGUGCUCACGCAUGCCCGGAGCGUGGGCAGCCAGCCUCUGUGCCUCUCCACUCCCCCAAGUCUGCCGAACACUCCAGCCGUCCUUUCAGAUAAAAGACUACAGGUACAAAGGCAGUUUCCUCACAUGGAGGGAGAAUUGAAACUGCAACACACAGGAUGCCACCUCUGCAUUAAUUCCCACCUGCCACUCAUGGGGUAACAGCCUAGGCUCCUGGGCUCCUUAGCUCCAGGAAGCUCAGCUCUGAAAUCUGUGUACCAGCAGAAAGACAAGGACACAGAGACAUCACAUUGGGUUUUAUGCCGAUUCUCUCUCUCUCUCUCUCUCUCUCUCUCUGUGUGUGUGUGUGUGUGUGUGUUUCUCUUUUUUAAAAGACAGGGUCUCAGAUACCCCAAGCUGCUCUUAAAACUUGCUGUGAAACGGAAUGACUUUGGCUUCUGAUUCUCCUGCCUUCCAUCCCCUAGCACUGGUAUUGAAGGUAUAAAUUAAUGAUUGAGUCAGGUUCCUGUGGACACUGGCUGUGGAACCUAGGACCCUGCCCACAAUGGGCAAGCACUCCUACCAACACAGCUAUCUCUUGAGGACAAAAAUCAGAACUUGGGUUGGAGGGUAGGUAUGGGAAACCUGUAAUGGAAACAUAUCAAGACAGUUUCACCCACGGACCUCAGUUAUCCCAUCCAUAAAAUGGAGAAGGACAGCAACUGAAAUCAGGCACCAAUCUCAAAGUCUUCUGGCCACAUCUCCCUCUCUAGGGAACUUGUCAAGGAUCUGAGAAUCUCAUUGGUCCUUCCUUUCUGCUUGGCAUCAGAUUGUAAAUUCCACUCUUCGCACGUCAUGGUCCAGCUCCGAGUCCCACUGAGCAGAGGUCAUGUUGGUGAUCGCCAAGCUCACACCGGGCAUCCUCUGCCAGCAUGAACAUGCCCCCUGAAGCAGGCUUCCUGAAACCCUCACUUCCCAAGGUAUAGUUGGUUUUCCCUGAGUUGGUUUCUCCCACGACCUUCUAAACUCAGAACAGCAGGCCAUAGCCUCCUCCGUAGCCUGAAGAACUAGCAAGGCCAGACACAAAGCAUGUGUUCUGACAUGCUUGGAGAACAAAAUAUCCUGGACAUAAUAAACGGUUUGUCCCUU
ensembl:processed_transcript predicted gene, 17396